rnacentral:lncRNA from 1 species
GGUACCAUAAGUGAAAUACAAAGCCCAAAAAAGGGAGUCUUAAGCCGGCGAAUUAUUUAAAAUGUUCCCGGAGUCAAAGCCGGCAGAAAUAGAAAUUUCUCUGGAAACCAAAGAAAAACAACAAAUAGAAGAGAAAUUUUCAAACCAAAUCAAAAGGGAGACGAAACCAGAUUCUAAAAACAGAGGCAACCGGCGAAACGCCUUAAGAGAAACAAUAAAACCGAGAAACAAAGGUCCUCUUCAUUUGAAGCACAAUCGAAUGAGAUUUACCCUGAAUGCCCAAGGCCAAUUCAAGGAUAACAUCUACCACCUCCUACCACGUUGAGAGCCAAUCUCUCGAAACCAGUAACCAGGGACUUCAAAACACGGCAAGCAAACCACUUACUUCCGACAGCGACGACGACGUUGAUACGCCAAGGAACGUCAAACUAGAAGUCUUCAAAAACGCAAGAAGCGAGGUCUAACUCUACAAGCACACCAAUCACAAGACUGAGAUCGACGAGAUAGCAAGAGAACUAACACCCACAAAGAACAACAACAAGAAGAAGGAACACAGCAAACUUCAGAUUCUACCAUCACGUUCAAACAAAACGAAACCUCUGAUUAGAAGGGAAACAAAUCCAAAGGAAAUCCAAAGCUGAGACGAGGAGACAGCUUGAGAUUUAGGGGCUUAGAAACAGUGAGAAGCACAUGAGCAGCUGAUAUGAGCACUCCAAAGACACCACCAACACAAACCAUCAACAAUCGAAUCAACACAUAAAGACAACCCAAUUGAAGGCUACUAAAUCUGAUCUCGGACCAUCCAAGGCCAUCUAAAAUCUAGCAUCUAAGAGAUAUACUUUGCAGAGCAACUAGGCGAACAUGAAACAGUGGAGACGAAGGGAGAUACCGAGUUAAAAGAGAAUCAAUCCGAUGUUGCACAUAUUCGUCGAGGUACAAAGAGAAACAAACCGUCGAGGAGGGAUGCUAGAACCUCCAUGGGAGGCUUUGACUCAAAGAGGUGAACCACUGGUCAGAACAAAAGCUAGCCGUGACUCCACUUCGAGGCUAGGAAGCUGGAUCAGCAACCCCCAUCAAACCAUCGACCAUCAGAACCAUUAGAUCUGCAUUCCCCGACCAAAACGCAACAGAUCCGAGACUCAAAACUUUGGUAUUCACCACGCCGAGAACUUCCACACUUCCAAAACUACUAAACUGGAAUUGAAAAGCUAGACAAGAAAACAAAAGAGGUGACCGACGCUGGCGCUGUGUAAGCCACCACGCCCGGUCACAAGCUUUG